UACGUAGGGUGCAAGCGUUGUCCGGAAUUAUUGGGCGUAAAGAGCUCGUAGGCGGUUUGUUGCGUCGGCUGUGAAAUCCCGAGGCUCAACCUCGGGUCUGCAGUCGAUACGAGCAAACUAGAGUGUUGCAGGGGAGACUGGAAUUCCUGGUGUAGCGGUGAAAUGCGCAGAGCUCCGGAGGAACACCAGUGGCGAAGGCGGCGGCCUGGGCCUGACCUGACGCUGAGGCGCGAAAGCGUGGGGAGCGAGCCGG
rnacentral:rRNA from 1 species